rnacentral:tRNA from 1 species
UCCCUGAUAGCUCAGUUGGUAAAGAAUCUGCCUGCGAUGCAGGAGAUCCCAGGUCGAUCCCUGGGUUGGGAA